AUAAAAUUGCACUAACUUUAAAAUGGAUAUCAUGUGCUUUAAGUGAUUUGUUUUAACUAUCAAGAUAGUAUCAGAAAGCAAAGUAUGUAUAUUUUAUUGAUAUUUUCCCCCUUGGAGACAAAUAGUAUCAGAAAGCAAAGUAUGUAUAUUUUAUUGAUAUUUUCCCCCUUGGAGACAAAUCAGGUCAGGUUGAAAAAAUAAAAAACAGAGAAUUAUGUAACAAAAUUAUUUGGAAUAUUGUUUUCAAGUGGUGAGAUUUGAGUAUGCUUUCAGUACAUAAUGAAUAGCUAUCAAUCCUUAAAUGUUGAAAAGUCACAAAUGAAGUAAUUUAAGAUAUGGUGUGAUUGAACUCUGAGAUAAUGUAUUUUAUAUUACAGUCACCAUGAAUAUAUGCACCAAGGGAAUGAACACAUAAAUUAAAAGUAAACAUUGCUUUGGUGUGAUGAGAUGUCCAGUUAACCUUUCUCACCGAAUGUCACAUAAAAGUCCCACCCAGGUAUCCUGCAAACCUACUAAUAUACUUAAUCUACCUGUACUUUCUGUUGCCUGGAUUAAGAACAACUUAUUCAUUUUAACUUAUGGAAGACUGAGGAAUAAAUUAAGGUAGAUGCAUUAAUUUAAAAGUAAUAUUCUUUACCAUUAACUGGAAUAUUCAAUUCCCUCAUUCAGAUAAACCUUCCUAUUAUUGUAAAAUUAAUAGCUAGAAGGCAGUUUUAGUGAGUGUACAAUGAAUGCAGAG
rnacentral:lncRNA from 1 species